AGAGAGCAAUAAGACUUUAUUGGGGGGUCAUGGGGGUAAAUGGGGGGGUCAUGGGGAUAAAUGGGGGGGUUACAGGGGGCUCACACGGGGGGGGGUCUGUGGUGCCGCAGCUGCAGCCCCAGGGCCGGGCCCCCCCAGAGCAGCAGCAGCAGCCCCAGCCCCAGCACCCAGCCCAGCACUGGGAGCACCAGUGGGGCCACUGGGGGGGCCACUGGGGGCAGCGGCAGCAGCGCUGGGCUCACUGCUGCUGUCCGUGGCGGCACUGGCGGCGCUGGUGGCACUGGUGGCAGUGCCAGCAGCGCUGCUGGUGGUGCCGCUGGCGGUGGUACCGGUGAUACUGGUGGUGCUGGUGCCGCUGGUGCCCUACCACCCCCCAUAGCCCCCCGGCCCCACUGCCCUCACAUGCCGCAGGUCUCCUGGAGCUGGUUCAACUGGUGCCGGAGCCGCGUCGCCUCCAACCGCUGCUCCUGGGGGGGGACACGGGGUUGGGGGGUCCCCAUUGCCCCUCCAUUGCCCCCCGCUGCCCCACUGCCCCACUGCCCCAUACCCUCACUGCUGUCUCAUACUCCUCCAGCGCUGCCGUCAGCUCGGCCACCCUCUGCCCGGCCUAGGCUGCGCUGGUGGCACCGGGCGCCGGGGGGGCCGGGGAGGACCGGGGGGGGCCUCACCUCCAGGCGCGUCACCUCGGCCACCAGCGCCUGCAGCCGCCGCCGCAGCUCCAGCCCCUCGCUCUGCAGCUGCUGGUUCUGCCGGGGGCCCAUCGGCGCGCGAGCGGAGGCUGUUCUGCUCCUUCUCCUGGUCCUCAUCCUGCGCCGCAGCUCCACGUUCUCCUCCUCCAGCCCCUUCACCGCGGCCUUGGUGUCCUCCAGCUCCUCGGUGGCCGCGCGCGCCCGCUCCAGCGCCUGCUGCCGGAGCUGCCCCCGCAGCUGCUGCAGCUCCUCUCCCAGGCGCGAGUUGAGCUCCUCGGAGGCCUCCGCGUCCCGCUGCAGCUUCCGGUUGUGGGAGGCCAAGUGCUGGGCGCGGGACAGGAGCUCCAGCGCUGCACUGCCCGUGCCUGCUCCGUGCUCGCUCUCCGGUGCCGCGGGUCCCUCCUCUGCAGCGGGCUGUGGGGCGGUACCUGUGCGCUGCGGGUCGCAGGCCGCGAAGGUGCUCUCGAGCACGAACUCCUGCCCGCAGCCGCCGCCGCCGCUGCCGGGGUCCCCCCGCGCCGGGGCCGGGGCCGGUUCCGGGGCUCCCCCCGCGCGGGGCCGGGGCCGGGGCCGGGGCCCGGGCCC
rnacentral:lncRNA from 1 species